ACGAACGCUGGCGGCGUGCCUAAUACAUGCAAGUAGAACGCUGAAGAGAGGAGCUUGCUCUUCUUGGAUGAGUUGCGAACGGGUGAGUAACGCGUAGGUAACCUGCCUUGUAGCGGGGGAUAACUAUUGGAAACGAUAGCUAAUACCGCAUAACAAUGGAUGACCCAUGUCAUUUAUUUGAAAGGGGCAAAUGCUCCACUACAAGAUGGACCUGCGUUGUAUUAGCUAGUAGGUGAGGUAACGGCUCACCUAGGCGACGAUACAUAGCCGACCUGAGAGGGUGAUCGGCCACACUGGGACUGAGACACGGCCCAGACUCCUACGGGAGGCAGCAGUAGGGAAUCUUCGGCAAUGGGGGCAACCCUGACCGAGCAACACCGCGUGAGUGAAGAAGGUUUUCGGAUCGUAAAGCUCUGUUGUAAGUCAAGAACGAGUGUGAGAGUGGAAAGUUCACACUGUGACGGUAGCUUACCAGAAAGGGACGGCUAACUACGUGCCAGCAGCCGCGGUAAUACGUAGGUCCCGAGCGUUGUCCGGAUUUAUUGGGCGUAAAGCGAGCGCAGGCGGUUUGAUAAGUCUGAAGUUAAAGGCUGUGGCUCAACCAUAGUUCGCUUUGGAAACUGUCAAACUUGAGUGCAGAAGGGGAGAGUGGAAUUCCAUGUGUAGCGGUGAAAUGCGUAGAUAUAUGGAGGAACACCGGUGGCGAAAGCGGCUCUCUGGUCUGUAACUGACGCUGAGGCUCGAAAGCGUGGGGAGCGAACAGGAUUAGAUACCCUGGUAGUCCACGCCGUAAACGAUGAGUGCUAGGUGUUGGAUCCUUUCCGGGAUUCAGUGCCGCAGCUAACGCAUUAAGCACUCCGCCUGGGGAGUACGACCGCAAGGUUGAAACUCAAAGGAAUUGACGGGGGCCCGCACAAGCGGUGGAGCAUGUGGUUUAAUUCGAAGCAACGCGAAGAACCUUACCAGGUCUUGACAUCCCGAUGCUAUUUCUAGAGAUAGAAAGUUACUUCGGUACAUCGGUGACAGGUGGUGCAUGGUUGUCGUCAGCUCGUGUCGUGAGAUGUUGGGUUAAGUCCCGCAACGAGCGCAACCCCUAUUGUUAGUUGCCAUCAUUCAGUUGGGCACUCUAGCGAGACUGCCGGUAAUAAACCGGAGGAAGGUGGGGAUGACGUCAAAUCAUCAUGCCCCUUAUGACCUGGGCUACACACGUGCUACAAUGGUUGGUACAACGAGUUGCGAGUCGGUGACGGCAAGCUAAUCUCUUAAAGCCAAUCUCAGUUCGGAUUGUAGGCUGCAACUCGCCUACAUGAAGUCGGAAUCGCUAGUAAUCGCGGAUCAGCACGCCGCGGUGAAUACGUUCCCGGGCCUUGUACACACCGCCCGUCACACCACGAGAGUUUGUAACACCCGAAGUCGGUGAGGUAACCUUUUGGAGCCAGCCGCCUAAGGUGGGAUAGAUGAUUGGGGUG
rnacentral:rRNA from 1 species